rnacentral:rRNA from 1 species
GUGGGGAAUCUUAGACAAUGGGGGAAACCCUGAUCUAGCCAUGCCGCGUGAGCGAUGAAGGCCUUAGGGUUGUAAAGCUCUUUCAGCUGGGAAGAUAAUGACGGUACCAGCAGAAGAAGCCCCGGCUAACUCCGUGCCAGCAGCCGCGGUAAUACGGAGGGGGCUAGCGUUGUUCGGAAUUACUGGGCGUAAAGCGCACGUAGGCGGAUCAGAAAGUCAGAGGUGAAAUCCCAGGGCUUAACCUUGGAACUGCCUUUGAAACUCCUGGUCUUGAGGUCGAGGGGGGUGAGUGGAAUUCCGAGUGUAGAGGUGAAAUUCGUAGAUAUUCGGAGGAACACCAGUGGCGAAGGCGGCUCACUGGCUCGAUACUGACGCUGAGGUGCGAAAGCGUGGGGAGCAAACAGGAUUAGAAACCCGUGUAGUCC